UCGAGAAUCUUCCACAAUGGACGAAAGUCUGAUGGAGCGACGCCGCGUGAUUGAUGAAGUCCUUCGGGACGUAAAGAUCUUUUAUGGGGGAGGAAGUAAUUGACGUUACCCCAUGAAUAAGAGGCUCCUAACUCUGUGCCAGCAGGAGCGGUAAGACAGAGGCCUCAAGCGUUACCCGGAAUCACUGGGCGUAAAGGGUGUGUAGGCGGUUCUGUUAGUCUCCCGUAAAAGCUCCAGGGCUUAACCCAGGAAAUGCGGGGGAAACGGCAGAACUUCGAGGAUGUGAGAGGUGUGCGGAACUCAUGGUGUAGGGGUGAAAUCCGUUGAUAUCAUGGGGAACACCAAAUGCGAAGGCAGCACACUGGCGCAUUCCUGACGCUGAGACACGAAAGCGUGGGUAGCGAACGGG
rnacentral:rRNA from 1 species